UACGAAGGUCCCGAGCGUUGUUCGGAAUCACUGGGCGUAAAGGGAGCGUAGGCGGCGUGGUAAGUCAGAUGUGAAAUCCCGGGGCUCAACCCCGGAACUGCAUCCGAUACUGCCAUGCUAGAGGAUUGGAGAGGUAGCUGGAAUUCUUGGUGUAGCAGUGAAAUGCGUGGAGAUCAAGAGGAACACUCGUGGCGAAAGCGAGCUACUGGACAAUUCCUGACGCUGAGGCUCGAAGGCCAGGGUAGCGAAAGGG
rnacentral:rRNA from 1 species